rnacentral:rRNA from 1 species
CUACGGGCGGCUGCAGUGAGGAAUAUUGCACAAUGGGGGGAACCCUGAUGCAGCAACGCCGCGUGGAGGAUGACGCAUUUCGGUGUGUAAACUCCUUUUAUAUGCCAAGAAAAUGACGGUAGCAUAUGAAUAAGCACCGGCUAACUCCGUGCCAGCAGCCGCGGUAAUACGGAGGGAGCAAGCGUUAUUCGGAAUCACUGGGCGUAAAGGACGCGUAGGCGGGUUUUUAAGUCAGGUGUGAAAUCCUACAGCUCAACUGUAGAACUGCACUUGAAACUGGGAACCUAGAGUAUGGAAGGGGCAGGUGGAAUUAGUGGUGUAGGGGUAAAAUCCGUAGAUAUCACUAGGAAUACCGAAAGCGAAGGCGACCUGCUGGGACAUAACUGACGCUGAGGCGUGAAAGCGUGGGGAGCAAACAGGAUUAGAUACCCUUGUAGUC